rnacentral:rRNA from 1 species
UCGAGGGGUAGAGUGCUUCGGCACUUGAGACCGGCGCACGGGUGCGUAACGCGUGUACAAUCUACCUUUUGCUAAGGGAUAGCCCGAAGAAAUUUGGAUUAAUACCUUAUAGUAUUAUUUGGUGGCAUCAUUAAAUAAUUAAAGCUACGGUGGCAAAAGAUGAGUACGCGUCCCAUUAGCUAGUUGGAGUGGUAACGGCACACCAAGGCUACGAUGGGUAGGGGUUCUGAGAGGGAUGUCCCCCACACUGGUACUGAGACACGGACCAGACUCCUACGGGAGGCAGCAGUGAGGAAUAUUGGACAAUGGUCGGAAGACUGAUCCAGCCAUGCCGCGUGCAGGAUGACGGCCUUAUGGGUUGUAAACUGCUUUUGUACGGGAAGAAUAAGGUCUACGUGUAGAUUGAUGACGGUACCGUACGAAUAAGCAUCGGCUAACUCCGUGCCAGCAG